CCUACGGGUGGCAGCAGUGGGGAAUAUUGGGCAAUGGGCGCAAGCCUGACCCAGCAACGCCGCGUGCAGGAAGAAGGCUUUCGGGUUGUAAACUUCUUUUCUCAGGGACGAAGCAAGUGACGGUACCUGAGGAAUAAGCCACGGCUAACUACGUGCCAGCAGCCGCGGUAAUACGUAGGUGGAAAGCGUUAUACGGAUUUACUGGGUGUAAAGGGCGUGUAGGCGGGGACGUAAGUCAGAUGGGAAAACCACGGGCUCAAACUGUGGCCUGCAUUUGAAACUGUGUUUCUUGAGUACUGGAGAGGCAGACGGAAUUCCGUGUGUAGCGGUGAAAUGCGGAGAUAUUAGGAGGAACACCAGUGGCGAAGGCGGUCUGCUGGACAGCAACUGACGCUGAGGCGCGAAAGCGUGGGGAGCAAACAGGAUUAGAUACCCGUGUAGUC
rnacentral:rRNA from 1 species